UACAGAGGUCCCAAGCGUUGUUCGGAUUCACUGGGCGUAAAGGGUGCGUAGGCGGUCCGCUAAGUUAGAUGUGAAAACUCUGGGCUCAACCCAGAGCCUGCAUCUAAUACUGACGGGCUAGAGUUCUGGAGGGGGUAGCGGAAUUCCUGGUGUAGCGGUGAAAUGCGUAGAUAUCAGGAGGAACACCUGCGGUGUAGACGGCUUUCUGGACCAUUGCUGACGCUGAGACACGAAAGCGUGGGUAGCAAACAGG
rnacentral:rRNA from 1 species